AGCAAAACAAACAUGGCCGUCCAGACAUCGGUAUGUCUGGUACAUUAAAGUCUGGACUCCACGCUAUUCUUGACUGAAAUCACUCGAAAGGAAACAGGAAAUCUAUUUGAAUGAUAUCGUAGCAUCAUUUGGGCGGAGAUAAGCAGUGGAUGUCUUAUAAAAACAGCAACUGUGACCAUGGCUUCUCUGGACACCGGGAUCGGGCCAAGUCUGGCUGGUGCAGACCGUCAACUUAAUGCACAAAACCGAUCUUCUCUUACCAAGGAGCAACAUUUACAAUUGGAGCUCGACCGCACAAGAAAUGAAUUGAAGAGCAUACGAGCACGGUUGGAAACCCUUGAAUAUCAAAAUGGCACCACACGAAUACGAUGUGAAAGUGAAAUUGAUUUGCGCGUGGCUUACGAAAAUAAAAUCCAAGUUAGAGAUAUGAACUUAAAAGAUUUGAAGGAAGAAAAUAAUAACUAUGUUGAAAAGAAUUAUGAGUUAGAAACAACCAUAUCUGAGCUAAAAGUUAUGCUCAAUGAAUCCAGAGGCGAAAUAUCUGAGAUUAAAAAGAGAAUGAUAGACAUAUCGGGAAAACUUCAAUUUGAAGUAGAUAAGAACUCAGGACUUGAACGACAGGUUGAAUCAUAUGAAGAAAACGCACACAAACUACUUAUGGAAACUAAGAAAAAUGAAAAUAAUCUAGAGAAAGUAAAAGAGUUAUACGAAAAAGCAGUAUGCUCAAGAGAUCAAUACGUUGUGAACUUCGAACGAACAGUAAAAGAGAACAAAGAACUUAGGUCAACUAUUUAUAAUCUGGAUUCUGAGCUAAUGAAAUGCAAAAACGAUUUGGGCUUAUCGCGUGAAGAAAUCGAAACAUUAUAUAAUGAAAGCGCUGCCUUCACUCGUAUAUUAGUCGAGAACAAUAGAGUAAUAGACAUACAGAGCGCAGAGUCUGUCUUGAAACGAAGGGAACAAAGCUUAGAGAGGAGAAUCCACCAGUGGAACCAGCGUGAAGCUCAGGAAAAACAAUUGAUUCCACUGUAUCAUGGACAGAUUCGUGAACUCAAGCGGACUAACGCCAAGCUAAGGACAGAGAAAGAAGAGAGUUAUAGACAGAAAGAAGAAGGAUUGAAGAGGGAGAAACACCUUGGCAGAAAAUUGGAGAAAGCGCAUGACAAGUAUAAUAGGCAAAGAAUCGGAGAGAGGGACGAACAAAGACUGGAGACAAUGGGAAGAAAAUUUGGCAGGCGUGUGACACCAAGAGUACGAAAGUACAGUGGACGAUAUACAGCCGAAAGAAAAAAGGUGUGGAAGUCUCUUGUCUGCAUCAUCGUACUCGCCGUUGUCUACACAAUAUACAACUAUUGGUGUUGACGACAUUGAUGAGUUGGCGGAUGCAACAACAUAAAUUGUACUUGCAAUUAAUUGCAAUAUUAAGAGCAAUAUGUGAUACAACAUUAGUUUGUAUUUUAUCCAAUGAAUACCAGUUCAUGGUAAGUUAAAAUGGUAGCAUCAUAAGUAAAGUGAAAAAAAUGUUGGUAGCUAUAUUCUAGAUAAGCAUGUCAUUGUGUUUAUUAGAUCGAUCUCAAAUUUAAUAUUCGAAAGACAUUCCAGAUAUCUGUUUUGAUACGAAUGUUGUUGCAAAUGUUAGCUUAUUAACGAAAUCCAUUAUGAAAGAUUUAUUGCUAAAUGAUCAACAAAGCUUUGGUAAUUUCUCGGAUGUCUUCCUGGU
rnacentral:misc_RNA from 1 species